GACGAACGCUGGCGGCGUGCUUAACACAUGCAAGUCGAACGGAAAGGCCCUGCUUUUGUGGGGUGCUCGAGUGGCGAACGGGUGAGUAACACGUGAGUAACCUGCCCUUGACUUUGGGAUAACUUCAGGAAACUGGGGCUAAUACCGGAUAGGAGCUCCUGCUGCAUGGUGGGGGUUGGAAAGUUUCGGCGGUUGGGGAUGGACUCGCGGCUUAUCAGCUUGUUGGUGGGGUAGUGGCUUACCAAGGCUUUGACGGGUGGCCGGCCUGAGAGGGUGACCGGCCACAUUGGGACUGAGAUACGGCCCAGACUCCUACGGGAGGCAGCAGUGGGGAAUAUUGCACAAUGGGCGGAAGCCUGAUGCAGCAACGCCGCGUGCGGGAUGACGGCCUUCGGGUUGUAAACCGCUUUCGCCUGUGACGAAGCGUGAGUGACGGUAAUGGGUAAAGAAGCACCGGCUAACUACGU
rnacentral:rRNA from 1 species